GUGUGUCCAACUCUUCCUCACAGGUUAGUUAAUGACAGACAGUCAGUGAGUGUGUGUCCAACUCUUCCUCACAGGUUAGUUAAUGACAGACAGUCAGUGAGUGUGUCUGUGUCCAACUCUUCCUCACAGGUUAGUUAAUGACAGACAGUCAGUGAGUGUGUCUGUGUCCAACUCUUCCUCACAGGUUAGUUAAUGAUGUUACUGAGUCAAUGUGAGCAGAUUGUGUCUGUAGACUGAAGAGAAUCAGAGUCUCACUGAUGGUGGAAAUAAAGGUUUUACUUCCUUAAAACA